GGAUAGGUCUUCAAAAAUGAUAUUGAGGUUUCUAAUAUCAUUUUUUAGGGUUCCGUAGCCAAAUGGCAAAAAACGGAACCCUUAUAGAUUCGUCAUGUCUGUCUGUCUGUCUGUCCGUUUCUAAUAUAAUUUUUUCUAAACUGAAUAGUUUGCGCGAGAGACA